rnacentral:rRNA from 1 species
GGAAGGAUCAUUACCGAAUUGCAAACACGAGUUGUUGCUGGUCCUCAAACGGGGGCAUGUGCACACUCUGUUUACACAUCCACUCACACCUGUGCACCUUCUGUAGUUCUGUGGCAUGGGGGGCUCUGUCCUCCUGUCGUGGUCCUACGUCUUUACACACACCCUGUAACAAAGUCUCAUGGAAUGCAUGGUGCGUUUAACGCAAUACAAUACAACUUUCAGCAACGGAUCUCUUGGCUCUCGCAUCGAUGAAGAACGCAGCGAAAUGCGAUAAGUAAUGUGAAUUGCAGAAUUCAGUGAAUCAUCGAAUCUUUGAACGCACCUUGCGCCCUUUGGCUAUUCCGAAGGGCAUGCCUGUUUGAGUAUCAUGAACACCUCAACUCUUGUGGUUUGCCACGAUGAGCUUGGACUUUGGGGGUUUUGCUGGCCUACGGUCAGCUCCUCUUAAAUGGAUCAGCUUGCCAGUGUUUGGUGGCAUCACAGGUGUGAUAACUAUCUACGCUUGUGGUUUUCCACCAGAUAACCUUCAGUGAUGGAGGUUCGCUGGAGCUCAUAAAUGUCUCUCCUCAGUGAAGACAGCUUUUUUGAACAUUUGAUCUCAAAUCAGGUAGGACUACCCGCUGAACUUAAGCAUAUCAAUAAGCGGAGGAAAAGAAACUAACAAGGAUUCCCCUAGUAACUGCGAGUGAAGCGGGAAGAGCUCAAAUUUAAAAUCUGGCGUCCUCUGGUCGUCCGAGUUGUAGUCUGGAGAAGUGUUUUCCGUGUUGGACCGUGUAUAAGUCCCUUGGAACAGGGCGUCGUAGAGGGUGAGAAUCCCGUCUUUGACACGGACUACCAAUGCUUUGUGAUGCGCUCUCAAAGAGUCGAGUUGUUUGGGAAUGCAGCUCAAAAUGGGUGGUAAAUUCCAUCUAAAGCUAAAUAUAGGCGAGAGACCGAU